rnacentral:misc_RNA from 1 species
ACGUCAUCCCACCUGGGAAGUACGAUCGCAAGAUUGAAACUCAAAGGAAUUGGCGGGGGUCCGCACAAGCGGUGGAGCAUGUGGCUUAAUUCGAUGAUACGCGAGGAACCUUACCUGGGCUAGAAUGCUGGUAGACCGAGGGUGAAAGCUCUUUUUGUAGCAAUACACUGCCAGUAAGGUGCUGCAUGGCUGUCGUCAGCUCGUGCCGUGAGGUGUUGGGUUAAGUCCCGCAACGAGCGCAACCCCCAUCACUAGUUGCCAUCAGGUAAUGCUGGGAACUCUAGUGAAACUGCCGUCGCAAGACGCGAGGAAGGUGGGGAUGACGUGAUCGGAUUCUAAG